CUCAGCUGUAGGGAACUGCCUAGGUUGCCAUGUACCUAAGCAAGGGUUACACUGCUGGGAGAAAAGCAGCCAGUAUCUGGCGGCCAUUCUGGGCAUAUUUAAUUCAAAUUUGUGUUAAUUAUACCAGUAUGCCAGCAUAAU
ensembl:snoRNA SNORA74 Small nucleolar RNA SNORA74